CCUACGGGAGGCAGCAGUAGGGAAUCUUCCGCAAUGGACGCAAGUCUGACGGAGCAACGCCGCGUGAGUGAAGAAGGUCUUCGGAUCGUAAAGCUCUGUUGUUAGAGAAGAACAGCGCAUAGAGUAACUGUUAUGCGUGUGACGGUAUCUAACCAGAAAGCCACGGCUAACUACGUGCCAGCAGCCGCGGUAAUACGUAGGUGGCGAGCGUUGUCCGGAUUUAUUGGGCGUAAAGGGAGUGUAGGCGGUCUUUUAAGUCUGAUGUGAAAGCCCACGGCUCAACCGUGGAGGGUCAUUGGAAACUGGGAGACUUGAGUGCAGAAGAGGAGAGCGGAAUUCCAUGUGUAGCGGUGAAAUGCGUAGAUAUAUGGAGGAACACCAGUGGCGAAGGCGGCUCUCUGGUCUGUAACUGACGCUGAGGCUCGAAAGCGUGGGGAGCAAACAGGAUUAGAUACCCUGGUAGUCCACGCCGUAAACGAUGAGUGCUAAGUGUUGGAGGGGUUCCACCCUUCAGUGCUGGAGUUAACGCAAUAAGCACUCCGCCUGGGGAGUACGGCCGCAAGGCUGAAACUCAAAGGAAUUGACGG
rnacentral:rRNA from 1 species